rnacentral:rRNA from 1 species
GACGAACGCUGGCGGCGUGCUUAACACAUGCAAGUCGAACGGAAAGGCCCUGCUUUUGUGGGGUGCUCGAGUGGCGAACGGGUGAGUAACACGUGAGUAACCUGCCCUUGACUUUGGGAUAACUUCAGGAAAUUGGGGCUAAUACAGGAUAGGAGCUCCUGCUGCAUGGUGGGGGUUGGAAAGUUUCGGCGGUUGGGGAUGGACUCGCGGCUUAUCAGCUUGUUGGUGGGGUAGUGGCUUACCAAGGCUUUGACGGGUAGCCGGCCUGAGAGGGUGACCGGCCACAUUGGGACUGAGAUACGGCCCAGACUCCUACGGGAGGCAGCAGUGGGGAAUAUUGUACAAUGGGCGGAAGCCUGAUGCAGCAACGCCGCGUGCGGGAUGACGGCCUUCGGGUUGUAAACCGCUUUCGCCUGUGACGAAGCGUGAGUGACGGUAAUGGGUAAAGAAGCACCGGCUAACUACGUG